rnacentral:rRNA from 1 species
ACCUUGGGUUUUGGGAUAGGCCCAAUGUGGGAUUAGCUUGUUGUUGAGGUAACGGCUCACCAAGGCGACGAUCGGUAGCUGGUCUGAGAGGAUGAUCAGCCACAUGGGGAUUGAGACACGGCCCAGACUCUUACGGGAGGCAGCAGUGGGGAAUAUUGGACAAUGGGCGAAAGCUUGAUCCAGCCAUGCCGCGUGUGUGAAGAAGGCUUUCGGGUUGUAAAGCACUUUCAGCGAGGAAGAACGCUUCGGGAUUAAUACUCCCGAGGAAAGACAUCACUCGCAGAAGAAGCACCGGCUAACUCCGUGCCAGCAGCCGCGGUAAUACGGAGGGUGCAAGCGUUAAUCGGAAUUACUGGGCGUAAAGCGCGCGUAGGUGGCUAAGUCAGCCAGGUGUGAAAGCCCCGGGCUCAACCUGGGAACGGCAUCUGGAACUGCUUGGCUAGAGUGCAGGAGAGGAAGGUAGAAUUCCCGGUGUAGCGGUGAAAUGCGUAGAGAUCGGGAGGAAUACCAGUGGCGAAGGCGGCCUUCUGGACUGACACUGACACUGAGGUGCGAAAGCGUGGGUAGCAAACAGGAUUAGAUACCCUGGUAGUCCACGCCGUAAACGAUGUCAACUAGCCGUUGGGUCCCUUGAGGACUUAGUGGCGCAGCUAACGCAAUAAGUUGACCGCCUGGGGAGUACGGCCGCAAGGUUAAAACUCAAAUGAAUUGACGGGGGCCCGCACAAGCGGUGGAGCAUGUGGUUUAAUUCGAUGCAACGCGAAGAACCUUACCUACCCUUGACAUCCAGAGGACUUUCCAGAGAUGGAUUGGUGCCUUCGGGAACUCUGAGACAGGUGCUGCAUGGCUGUCUC